rnacentral:rRNA from 1 species
GACGAACGCUGGCGGCGUGCCUAAUACAUGCAAGUCGAACGAACUCUGGUAUUGAUUGGUGCUUGCAUCAUGAUUUACAUUUGAGUGAGUGGCGAACUGGUGAGUAACACGUGGGAAACCUGCCCAGAAGCGGGGGAUAACACCUGGAAACAUAUGCUCAUACCGCAUAACAACUUGGACCGCAUGGUCCGAGUUUGAAAGAUGGCUUCGGCUGU